AGUCACUAACCUCGAUCACUCCACACAAUGGAACCAUUCAGAUGCCCCGAGACAGAGAUCUAGUAUCAGUUUCUGAUCAGCGUCCAGAGGCAACUUCAACUUCCCCAAUCCCCCAUCAAUUCAGCUCGACAAGACAGAAUGUGAUGAUGUCACUUGUGAUGUCAUUUCCCAUUGGACCUGACUAAUUGCUAGACGUCCCUUCAAUGGAGGAAGAAACCAUCUGUUCACAGCAGAGCAGGAACAACACAUAGUGAAUAAGGUCAUUUCAAACAACAGCAUACGUUUACGACUACUGCAUCACCACAUCAUCACUGACAACACAACAUUCAGUACCAUAAAUAGGGUGAGUUUAUCGCACUUGGCCGUCUUCUGAAACGCUAUCAGAUUCGUAUGAAGCAGCUCUACAGAGUACCAUUUGAACAAAAUUCUGACAGUGAAACAACUGCGCUAUGAAUACGUACAAAGAGUUCUGGAACUAGAUGCUGCUGCAGAGCAUCAUGAUUUCGUCUACGUUGAUGAGGUCGGCUUUAACAUAGCUAAAACAAGCCGCAGGGGAAGAAACCUCAUAGGACACCACCAUCGUCAAUGUCUCUGGACAGCGUGGUGACAACAUCACAAUGUGUGCAGCCAUUAGUCAGAAUGGUGUCCUUCAUCGCUUGUGAUGUUGAUGGGGUACUGUGGCCAGACCCAAAAUGGAGACAGGAUGCACCCUAAUUGUUUUUUUCUUUAUAAUAACAAGCCUAUUUGUUUUUCUUCUACUGUAUUUGUUUAAUCUGUUACUGUUCAUCCCGAAAUCUGGAUGAAAAUACAAAAUACUAUGUUUUGAGAAAGAAAUACAUUACAUUUUUCCCCCCUUG